CAUAGAAGUCCCUUGUGCUAUUUAAGAACAUUAAACAGCCGGCUGGGCCCAAGGGCUCAUGCCUGUAAUCCCAGCACUUUGGGAGGCCAAGGCUGGUGGAUCACUUGAGCCCAGGAGUUCGAGACCAGCCUGGGCAACAUAGUGAAACCCAGUCUUUACCAAAAAUACAAAAAUUGGCCAGUCUUGUAAUUUGGGUCUCAAGCAAGAACACUUAACAGCAUACCUGAAUUUGACUAGUGACCUUCAGGGUUCAUUCAGUUCUCAUAAAAUCUCCUUACACCCUUUUACCUGUAGUAAAGACACUGAGACUUGCUUGACUUACCAUUAGCAAAAACUUCCCUGCAAUUGAGGCAAUUCUUUUUCCUCCUAGAAGAAACACCAUCUGGAAAAUAGCCCAAGCUAGGAUAAAGUUUUUACAGCAGAGUCAAGUUAUACAGUCUAAUAACUAGAAAUUUCUAGGCAGUCAGUCAGUAGCACUAGAGUAUUCCUUAUGGGCAUUAAGAAUUUCUCUUGUUUCCUGCCUCAAUCCCCCUUUCCCAUCAGCCUACCACUUGCUUGUCUCCUACACCAGAAAAGGAUGCAGACCACCUUUUGACCAGGGCUCCCUUCUCACACUAUCACCUAGUCAAAUUUCUAGUUUUACGUAGUCUGCCCCUACUGCUGUCACUGUGGCCUCUUUAUCUCCACCACAUCUGACAUUUAAUUAUACUCUUCUGGGAAUUCUGUUCACUGGGCUUCUUAAUCCUCCCCCAACCCUCGUUUUCUUGUAUCUCCUGUUAGUCUAUGUAUUUUUUUCUAAAUUAGAAAUACUUUCUAAAAAACUUCCCCCAAAUCAGUUCUUAACCAUCUUUAGUUCACGUGACUCUUGACUUUUUGGGUGAUCUCACUUACUAUACCACGUUGAUUCCAGAUCUGGAUUUUCUGGGCAAUUUAAUGUGUCAAAACUUACCUUUCACUGAAGCUAUGAGCAUCUGUCCAUGUGCUGAAUUAGAAACUUGAGUCAUCCUCUCUAACAAUUCAACUGGUCUGUCUGUUAUUUAGAACCUCCAAAAGGCCUGGAUUGUUUUUCCUCCCUCUACAAUGGGUCUAGAUCUUGUCCCUCCCUCGACUAGACGGCCGUGACUGUGGGUGCCAUUAGACACACACAGCAGCUCAAUCAGGGCUCAGGGAAGAAGGCUUGUGAACCCUGGGCAAAAUCUUUUAAUCUCUUAGGCUUAUUUCCUCAAUUGUAAGAAGUACAAAUAAUAGUAUCUAUACUUUAUUCAGCUAUUGGGAAGAUU
rnacentral:lncRNA from 10 species